rnacentral:tRNA from 1 species
GGGGGUAUACCUCAGCAGUAGAGCACGUGCUUAGCAGGCACGAGGUCCUGGGUUCAAUCCCAGUACCUCCA